UCAGGAUGAACGCUAGCUACAGGCUUAACACAUGCAAGUCGAGGGGAAACGACAUCGAAAGCUUGCUUUUGAUGGGCGUCGACCGGCGCACGGGUGAGUAACGCGUAUCCAACCUGCCCACCACUUGGGGAUAACCUUGCGAAAGUAAGACUAAUACCCAAUGAUAUCUCUGGAAGACAUCUGAAAGAGAUUAAAGAUUUAUCGGUGAUGGAUGGGGAUGCGUCUGAUUAGCUUGUUGGCGGGGUAACGGCCCACCAAGGCGACGAUCAGUAGGGGUUCUGAGAGGAAGGUCCCCCACAUUGGAACUGAGACACGGUCCAAACUCCUACGGGAGGCAGCAGUGAGGAAUAUUGGUCAAUGGACGAGAGUCUGAACCUGCCAAGUAGCGUGCAGGAAGACGGCCCUAUGGGUUGUAAACUGCUUUUAUAAGGGAAUAAAGUGAGUCUCGUGAGACUUUUUGCAUGUACCUUAUGAAUAAGGACCGGCUAAUUCCGUGCCAGCAGCCGCGGUAAUACGGAAGGUCCGGGCGUUAUCCGGAUUUAUUGGGUUUAAAGGGAGCGUAGGCCGGAGAUUAAGCGUGUUGUGAAAUGUAGACGCUCAACGUCUGCACUGCAGCGCGAACUGGUUUCCUUGAGUACGCACAAAGUGGGCGGAAUUCGUGGUGUAGCGGUGAAAUGCUUAGAUAUCACGAAGAACUCCGAUUGCGAAGGCAGCUCACUGGAGCGCAACUGACGCUGAAGCUCGAAAGUGCGGGUAUCGAACAGGAUUAGAUACCCUGGUAGUCCGCACGGUAAACGAUGGAUGCCCGCUGUUGGUCUGAAUAGGUCAGCGGCCAAGCGAAAGCAUUAAGCAUCCCACCUGGGGAGUACGCCGGCAACGGUGAAACUCAAAGGAAUUGACGG
rnacentral:rRNA from 1 species